rnacentral:rRNA from 1 species
GAUGAACGCUGGCGGCGUGCCUAAUACAUGCAAGUCGAGCGAAGCGGGGACGCGUGAGUAACACGUGGAUAACCUCCUAUAAGACUGGGAUAACUUCGGGAAACCGGAGCUAAACCGGAUACUUAUAGAUGGAUCCGCGCUGGAUUAGCUAGUUGGUAAGGUAACGGCUUACAAAGGCAACGAUGAAUAGCCGACCUGAGAGGAUGAUGAGCCACACUGAAACUGAGACACGCACCAGACUCCUACGGGAAGCACCAGUAGGGAUGCUUCCGCAGUGGGCGAAAGGCCGACGGAGCAACGCCGCGUGAGUGAAGAAGGCCAUCGGAUCGUAAAUCACUGUAAUUGGAGAAGCGGUACCUAAUCAGAAAGCCGCGGCUAACUAAGUGCCAGCAGCCGCGGUAAUAC